rnacentral:rRNA from 1 species
ACUAAAUAGUUCUAUAACAAAACAAUUCGCCAGAGAACUACUAGCAACAGCUUAAAACUCAAAGGACUUGGCGGUGCUUUAUAUCCCUCUAGAGGAGCCUGUUCUAUAAUCGAUAAACCCCGAUAAACCUCACCAUCCCUUGCUAAUACAGUCUAUAUACCGCCACUUCAGCAAAAUGAA